AAGCAAUAACUGGGCCGGAAAGACCCUCUUCGACUUGAUGACAAGAGGUCCCAAGUAACACAGGUCACUCAAUUUCGGGCAGUUUGUGGUCGAUAGACGUAAAAACAGGGUGAGCGCGGGGGUGAGGUACGUCCGCGAGCACUCAAUCUUUACCCCUCUGCCUGCGCGGCAACCGAGGAAGGGAUCCCGCGGACAUUUUCCCCUCCCGGGGGGUGAAAUUGUGAGCACCAUGCAACAUCCUUCGCGCUAUCCUUGUUUGGUUCAAGCUAAUUUUUCUCUGCUUUCUCACUCUCCGUGCCCCUCUCGGUUCACCCGUGGUGCUAUCCUCUUUUUGCUUCAGACGGAUUUUUUUAUUCCUUUCUCGCUCUUCGCGCCACCCCCGAGUCAUCCAUGUUGCUACCCUCCACUGGCUUUAGGCAGAUUUUUUUCCCUUCUCGCUCUUCGAAUGAUCCUGCGAGGAUCAUCCGUGUAAAGAUACGCGGUGCUCAACGCGAUUACAUCUGUAUGCGAUCGAGUUUGAGCUUUGACGAAAAGUGACCCAGGCAGCUCUCUGGGCUUUUCUCCUAAGAGAAAACGAACAGCAUGUUUUUCGGUGAAAAACACUUGAAACGCCCCUCAAAACAUUUUUAAAAUUAGUAUUAAUGAAUAAACAAAGCAUCACACUGCAUUUCAUUCAGGUUAAAACACUUUUUUGUGAAAAAAUGUGCAUUUUGGAGUGAAAUGGUGAUUUAGGGAACUUUCAAAUCAACCCUACCCAAAAGAACAGGAGAGAAAAGGACGGAGAUAGACCUCUCUCUCAGAUCCGAAAAUCAUAAGAUUGGUCGAAGAGUCUUUCCGAAAGCUGAAAAUGUGCGUCAAGUUUUUCAGUGAAAAUACCUAAAACACCGCUUAAAACAUGUUUAAAAACAUUUUUAAAAUCAAAUCAAUUUAUAACAAUGCAUUACGUUCAGGUUAUAACAAUUUUCAAAGCAAUGUUGAACAUUUUGUACUGAGAUGAGGAUCAACAGAACUUUCACGAUAACCCCAUACGAAAGAAGCGAGAGAGAAGGACGGAGAAGGAACUGUCAAACGUGUUUGUUAGGUUGGAAAGCUGGUCGGAUGCUGAUGAUCGCGCUGCUGGUAAGUUUGCCAAAAAUAUGCAUAAUUUUAACACAUUUUGUUGGUUUUCCAUUCUUUACAGAUCAUUUAUCAGAUACAGCAGCAGUGGCCGAACGAUUCGUCGUGAUCUGGUGAGUAAUUAAACUGAUAUUUGGACGAUCAAGUCCGAUGCCGUACCAUUGCCUCUUUCCAGAAUGUUCCGGUACAUGCAUCGCCAGGAGAUCGGAAAACGCUGUGAAAACGUUUUACGCCCUCCGAGAGCUGCGAGCCGUGAGUAAGCGGUAUGUGUGAAUGUGUGCCGUCCAUGCGAACGGCCCGUCUAUGGGAACGUACUUUUCGGUCCUUAUACGGCCAACGAAGGAAGGAAGCAUUGUAAGGAUGAGGUAUGUUUGGUGCUAGUGUUAUGUGAUUGAGUUUUAAAAAAGUGUGAAUAAAUAUUAUCAAAAAUGAAA